UACGUAGGGACCAAGCGUUGUUCGGAUUUACUGGGCGUAAAGGGCGCGUAGGCGGCGCUGUAAGUCACUUGUGAAAUCUCCGGGCUUAACUCGGAACGGUCAAGUGAUACUGCAGUGCUAGAGUGCAGAAAGGGCAAUCGGAAUUCUUGGUGUAGCGGUGAAAUGCGUAGAUAUCAAGAGGAACACCUGAGGCGAAGGCGGGUUGCUAGGCUGACACUGACGCUGACAGCGCGAAAGCCAGGGAGCAAACGGG
rnacentral:rRNA from 1 species